AACGAACGCUGGCGGCAUGCCUAACACAUGCAAGUCGAACGAGACCUUCGGGUCUAGUGGCGCACGGGUGCGUAACGCGUGGGAACCUGCCCUUAGGUUCGGAAUAACUCCCCGAAAGGGGUGCUAAUACCGGAUAAUGUCUUCGGACCAAAGAUUUAUCGCCUUUGGAUGGGCCCGCGUUGGAUUAGCUAGUUGGUAGGGUAAAAGCCUACCAAGGCGACGAUCCAUAGCUGGUCUGAGAGGAUGAUCAGCCACACUGGGACUGAGACACGGCCCAGACCCCUGGGGGAGGCAGCGGGGGGGAAUAUUGGAAAGGGGGCAAACGCCUGACCCAGCAGUGCCGCGUGAGGGAGAAGGGCCUGGGGGUUGUAAAUCUUUUUUCCCCGGGAUGAAAAUGACAGCCCGGGGAAAAUAGGCCCCGACUAACCCCGUC
rnacentral:rRNA from 1 species